UGCAAGUCGAGCGAGAAGCUACCUAUGAUCCUUCGGGAGAUUAGACUAGUGGACAGCGGCGGACGGGUGAGUAACGCGUAAAUAACCUGCCAUACACACAAGGAUAGCCAUCGGAAACGGUGAUUAAUACUUGAUGAGGCUACAGAUUCGCAUGAAUCAGUAGUUAAAGAAUUUUGGUGUAUGAUGGAUUUGCGUUUGAUUAGCUAGUUGGUAAGGUAAUGGCUUACCAAGGCAAUGAUCAAUAGCCGGCCUGAGAGGUAGAACGGCCACAAUGGGACUGAGACACGGCCCAUACUCCUACGGGAGGCAGCAGUGGGGAAUCUUGCACAAUGGAGGAGACUCUGAUGCAGUGACUCUGCGUGAAGGACGAAGCCCUACGGGGUGUAAACUUCUUUACUGGAGGAAGAUAGUGACGGUACUCCAGGAACAAGGGACGGCUAACUACGUGCCAGCAGCCGCGGUAAUACGUAGGUCUCAAGUGUUAUCCGGAAUUAUUGGGCGUAAAGGGUCCGAAGCCGGGCUAUAAAAGUCUAUUCUUAAAUGCUGUAGCUCAACUACAGAGUGGGGAUAGAAACUAUAUAGCUAGAGAUACCGAGGGGAUAACGGAAUUCCUGGUGGAGAAGUGGAAUUCGUUGAUAUCAGGAGGAAUGCCGAAAGCGAAGGCAGUUGUCUAUCGGUAAUCUGACGGUAAAGGACGAAAGCUUGGGUAGCAAACAGGAUUAGAUACCCUGGUAGUCCAAGCUGUAAAUGAUGCCUGCUAAGUGUUGGUUCGUUUGAGAGGAUCAGUGCUGUAACCUAACGGGUUAAGCAGGCCGCCUGUGGAGUAUAGCCGCAAGGCUGAAACACAAAGGGAUAGGCGGGGGAACACACAAGCAGUGGAUUGUCUCGAUUAAUUGGACAAUAAGCCAAGAAUUUUACCUAGACUUGACAUCAAUAAGGACAGUCCCGAAAAGGACUGGUGCCUCUUUGAGGAGCUUACUGACAGGUGCUGCAUGGCCGUCGUCAGUUCGUGCCGUAAAGGUGUCUGGUUAAGUCCAGAAACGAGCGUAACCCUCAUGCUUAGUUAGGAUGUCUAAGCAUACUGCUCUGGCAACGGAGAGGAAGGAGGGGAUGACGUCAGGUCAUCAUGGCCCUUAUGUCUAGGGCUUCAGAGGCAAUACAAUGGCUAGGACAAAGGGGAGCGAAGUCGAGAGAUGGAGCAAAUCCCAUAAAACUAGUCUAAGUGCGGAUUGCAGUCUGGAAUUCGACUGCAUGAAGAUGGAAUUGCUAGUAAUUGUGGAUCACAAUGCCACAGUGAAUGUGUCCCUGUUCCUUGCACUCACCGCCCGUCAUACCAUGGAAGCUGAGGCUGUUGAAGACCAGCGUAUGGU
rnacentral:rRNA from 1 species